GAUGAACGCUGGCGGCGUGCCUAAUACAUGCAAGUCGAGCGAACUGAUUAGAAGCUUGCUUCUAUGACGUUAGCGGCGGACGGGUGAGUAACACGUGGGCAACCUGCCUGUAAGACUGGGAUAACUUCGGGAAACCGAAGCUAAUACCGGAUAGGAUCUUCUCCUUCAUGGGAGAUGAUUGAAAGAUGGUUUCGGCUAUCACUUACAGAUGGGCCCGCGGUGCAUUAGCUAGUUGGUGAGGUAACGGCUCACCAAGGCAACGAUGCAUAGCCGACCUGAGAGGGUGAUCGGCCACACUUGGACUGAGACACGGCCCAGACUCCUACGGGUGGCUG
rnacentral:rRNA from 1 species